AUAUUUUGUGAUCAUAAAGGGAUGCCAGUGCCGCACUCGAAUCCUGCUGUCGUUUCCCAUAUUAAUUUGACAUUAAUAUGCCUAGCCAUUAUGUCAAGCUACUUAUGUACCCUUCACCUUAAAAGUUUUUCUACACAACUUUUUCUGAUAUAUUUUUUGUUUUAAAACACUGUGAAAUGGUAUCCUAUUUCAAAUUGCAAACCCUAAUCUCUGACAAAUAAACAUAUAUUAUAUUGACAUAUUUAUACUUCAAUAUUGAUACAAUCCCUUUUUUCGAAUCUAUAUAUUUCGUUAUGGGUUUUUGGGUAUUUACAAUACUUUUUAUUUCAAUAUAUUUAACUGGAGUUUCAUCGCUGCAUUGUCACAAAUGCAACAAGGAACAACAUGGUACUUGUGCCAAACUCCUGGGCAAUGAUAAAUUUUUGCAAUUGUGUCCCGAAGAUUACGAAUAUUGUGCCAUGAUAUGGACCAAAGAAGAGGUACUCAAACGUGGCUGCAACAAUGGAACGGUGUGUGACGAAUACAAAGGGGACGACGAGACUAGUUGCUGUUAUUGUCAAAACGAUGGUUGCAAUUAUGGGGCAAUAUCAUGUAAUGGACGGGAUGCAUUACACAUUGAGCUCUUAUUGAUUGUUGUCAUGCCGCUGGUAACUGGUUUCAAAUUACUUCAAUUGUUAAUAAUGUAAUUAUUUUAAUAAACAACUAAUUUGAAAUGGAA